CCCAGGGGGGGCCGUAGCCUCCCUCAGGGGAGGUGCCCGCCGGAGGACACACAAACUAUACUUGAAUUAUUGGCCCUUCUGAGAACAAGCUUCAAUAAUCAAAACUUUCAACAACGGAUCUCUUGGUUCUGGCAUCGAUGAAGAACGCAGCGAAAUCCGAUAAGUAAUGCGAAUUGCAUACUUCAGUGAAUCAUCGAACCUUUGAACGCACAUUCCUCCCGCCAGCAUUCUGGCGGGCAUGCCUGUCCGAGCGUCAUUUCAACCCUCAAGCUCAGCUUGGUGUUGGGGCACUACGGCCCACCCCUACCCCUGAAAUUAGUGCGGGCUCUCUGGGAGUCGGUCGUAGAGCAAUAUGUCGCCCGCGGUCUCCGGAGUGUCCGGCGCUAAACUUCCAAAUUUACAGAAUG
rnacentral:misc_RNA from 1 species